rnacentral:rRNA from 1 species
GGCGCGAAAACUUCGCAAUGUGGGAAACCACGACGAGGGAAUCCCAAGUGCCAACGAUUUUUCGUUGGCUGUUGCCCUGUCUAAAAAACAGGGAGAGUAAGGGCUGGGUAAGACGGGUGCCAGCCGCCGCGGUAAUACCCGCGGCCCAAGUGGUGCUCGUUAUUAUUGGGUUUAAAACGUCCGUAGCCGGUCCGGUAAAUUCUUGGGUAAAUCGACUGGCCUAACCAGUCGAAUUCCGGGGAGACUGCCGGACUCGGGACCGGGGGAGGUCGGAGGUACUUCCAGGGUAGGGGUGAAAUCCUGUAAUCCUGGGGGGACCACCAGUGGCGAAGGCGUCCGACCAGAACGGCUCCGACGGUAAGGGACGAAGCCCUGGGGCGCAAACGGGAUUAGAAACCCGGGUAGUCC